ACUGAGGUGGCCGAGUGGUCUAAGGCAUUGCACUUAAGCUGCAACGUACACUGUACUCGCGGGUUCAAACCCCGUCCUCAGUA